rnacentral:rRNA from 1 species
UGAGCAAUCUGCCCUUCUCAUCGGAAUAAGCGUUGGAAACGACGUCUAAUGCCGAAUACGACCUCCUUUCGCAUGAUCGGAGGUGGAAAGCUCCGGCGGAGAAGGAUGAGCUCGCGGCCUAUCAACUAGUUGGUGUGGGUAAUGGCCCACAAGGCGACGACGGGUAGCCGGCCUGAGAGGGUGACCGGCCACACUGGGACUGAGACACCGGCCCAGACCUCCGUACGGGGAGG